GAAGGUAAAUAGGUAUGUGUUUUAUAUGUGAAUCAUUAUAAACAUUUUGUGAGUGUCACAAAUAUGUAUAAACUCCUAUAACAACUUCAAGAAGUGAAUCCAGCUCAUCUUAAUUCUUUAAGGAGGAGUUUAUGCAAAUCUGACAUUUCCAGUUUCUUCUUAUAUGAAUCAAAGUUCAGUGAUUCAAUCUGACAAAGAAGCUGCAGACAGAACAAAGACAAAUGACUCCAACAAUGAUCAGACCUGUUUGUUUGCUGCUUUUUCUCUUUUCCUUUGGUGUCUUACCUGGUAUCAGGGGUCAAACACUGACUGAGUCUGAAUCAGCGGUUAAAAGACCUGGAGAAUCCCACAAACUGACUUGUACAUAUUCAGGGUUUAGUGGUGAUCAGCAUGUAGCUUGGAUCAGACAGGCUGAAGGAAAAGGACUGGAAUGGAUUGCUUGGAUCCACGCCAGUAGUAGCAGCAGCAUUUACUACUCAGAGUCAGUGAAAAACCGCUUCACCAUCUCCAGAGACAACAGCAGAAAGCAGGUGUAUCUGCAGAUGAACAGUCUGAGAGCUGAGGAUUCUGCUGUUUAUUACUGCGCUCGAGA